rnacentral:misc_RNA from 1 species
GUGGGUACAAAAAUGUCCAUCAACAUCAACCAUGGAAUAUUGAUGAAACAUUAAACAAGUUGUCUAGAAACAUUGAAGCUUCUACAACAGCCAUUGAAUAACUUCUAUAACAGCCUUUGAAUGAGAACCAAUGGAAAUGAGAGACUUGUGAAUUCUGAUUGGUGUCAAAUUUAUUUCCUUUUUAACAGAUCAUAGGUGACACAAAGUCCGUUCACCAUUUAUCCAUAGGUGAAUUCCAUGAAAUUUAGAUGGAAACCAAUAAAUAAGAUACAAAAGUUAACCAAUGGAGAUAAUAAGAUGUUUUAGGGAAGGUAAAAGUAAUAAAAAUGCUUCUCUUGAGAAAUUCCACAAUUGAGAUAAAACAGUCGAGAAUCUAAGGUACCUAACUACCAACUUUAACUGAUAGAUCCCACCAUCUGGAUCUACUCUUUGAUUAGUAAGAAUAAAUGACCAGACCUAAUCAUACAUCCAUAGAUAAUAUUUAUGUUUCCAGCGGCUUGACAUGGAUUGGUUUUAACCAAAUGCCUUUAAGGCAUUCAUCUGCUUCUUGUAUGGUUCUCAAGUCUUAAUCAAGGGGGAACAUUCUGACCAGCAUCCAUGGAAGAGUAAUAAGAAAGAAUCAAUCCAGUAGGAGUGAUGUACAUAGGGCAUUGAUUUCAUUCCCUUGAAUCCACAUCAUACAUCUGAAGCUAAUACCAGCAGAACCGAUAUUUUCAAUAUUUAAUAAUGAAUCACAAUGAAUGAUGAAAUAUAUAUAUAUAUAUAAACAAUGGUUACAUCACUGCUUUAGUAGAGCUUUAUUCUCAUUUGAAUUGUGCUUCGACAGAUCGGACAUAACUGAAGGCUUUCUCCACAUUCACAGCACGUCUGAUGACCACAACCAAAGGCCAUGUCCUUCGCAUUAGUGAGGCAAAUGGGACAAACCUGAUUAUCAUAAGUUGAAGCUGGAGCAGGUGGAGCUGAGCUGGCUGGUUGGGUGUCAACUGGAUUAGAAGGAAAACUUGGCUUAAAACUGUUCGAUUGGGAAGGUUUAGAGGUGCUGAAAGAUGUUGCACCAUAUAAAGGUGGAGGGAGGGAAAUCCUCUCAGGAACAUUCCCCUUGCAACGACCCAAUAUAUUAAGCUCUAUCGUGGCCUUAUAUUGAGAAGGAAUUUCCAUUAGAGCUGCCAGAGCAAAUUCUGUCUCCUUUUGGGAUGAGUCCACAUGCUUUGACAUAAUUUCUGUAAAAUUUACAAAUUGGAAAUUAUCGAACUCUCGAGCAGGAAUGUUAUCAUCAAAUUCCCUCAUCAUGUCCCAAGGUCCAUCUCCAACCCCAACUAAUACAAUCGAUAAGGGAAGCUUACUUGCCUCUACAAUGGCAUCAACAGUCUUCUGCUCUUGUGGACUUAGCUGUCCACGCUCCGUAUCAACACUUCUAGUAACCUGCCCAUCUGCAAUUAUCAAUAACACAUGGUACUGGCCACCACUCUGCUCAACAAUGGUUGAUGCCAUUUCAAUGACAGGAGCAAAAGAUGUCGGUCCUGCAAGUCGAAGAUUGGGCACGAUUUCCCUGUAGCGACUCAGAACUUCCUCAAAUCCAUUGCAGAAU